GAUGAACGCUGGCGGCGUGCCUAAUACAUGCAAGUCGAGCGAACGGACGAGAAGCUUGCUUUUCUGAUGUUAGCGGCGGACGGGUGAGUAACACGUGGAUAACCUACCUAUAAGACUGGGAUAACUUCGGGAAACCGGAGCUAAUACCGGAUAAUAUUUUGAACCGCAUGGUUCAAAAGUGAAAGGCGGUCCUGCUGUCACUUAUAGAUGGAUCCGCGCUGCAUUAGCUAGUUGGUAAGGUAACGGCUUACCAGGGCAACGAUGCAUAGCCGACCUGAGAGGGUGAUCGGCCACACUGGAACUGAGACACGGCCCAGACUCCUACGGGAGGCAGCAGUAGGGAAUCUUCCGCAAUGGGCGAAAGCCUGACGGAGCAACGCCGCGUGAGUGAUGAAGGUCUUCGGAUCGUAAAACUCUGUUAUUAGGGAAGAACAUAUGUGUAAGUAACUGUGCACAUCUUGACGGUACCUAAUCAGAAAGCCACGGCUAACUACGUG
rnacentral:rRNA from 1 species